rnacentral:tRNA from 1 species
UUAAUAGAAGCUAAAAAUUAAGUGUCUCAUUGUUGAUGAGAAGUUGAGAAAAUCCUAUUAGG